rnacentral:lncRNA from 1 species
AGAUUAUUUCCAAUCUGUUUCAGGUAAAUGCUUAAAACUCAUUGACGAAACUUGACUUUUACAAACGCAUAACUGAUUUAAAGAGUUAUCUCUCCUGAACCAAGGUCUACUCCCUUUAAAAGUUCUUAGUAAUGUAGAAAUCAUAUUCUCUAAUUCUUAUUAGAUUUAUAAUUUUUUCUAUUCUAAGGGCUGUUCCAAAAUUCAUCAAAAAAAUCAAGAAAUAUAGCAUUUUCAUGGAUUUCCAUGGUAUAUAUAUAGUAGAAACAUAAAUUUUUGUGUUUGACAUAUUACAUAUUUUUUUGGGCAGACUGUAGACGUAAACAACAAGAUCAAAUAUCCACCAAAAAAUACUAUUUUUCCUUAAUCCACGAAAAAUGUGUAUGUACCUACAAAAAUAAAUUAAUCCACAAUAUUUCAAAGAUUUGAGAUUUUGCUUACUGACCAUCUUAGGCUUAUCCAUUGACAGCAGAAAACACACAGGAAUAAUGGUUGCUAAUAUAAGAUUAUUCAAAUUUUGUAAAUUUGGAAUUUUAUUUGUUAAUAGAUUUUUUACCAUUCAAUUUAUACACUUAAAAGUAAACAAAGUUGUAUUUAUUGUGCCAUAUUUUUUCCUUACAAUGAAUGUAGUUACAUUUAAAACCGUAAUUUUUUCAAAUUAUUCAAACAAAUAUUUAAAUAUAUCAUUACAAAAUGUAUUACAAAAUGUAUCAUCAAUUUUUUCAGGUUAUUUUCAAGUUUUUAAUUUUUUAAAUUUUUUAUUCUCCAUUUUUAUAGUAUGAAUAUGAUGAACAGGGGAUUUUAAGGGAGAUAAGCUGUUAUUAAGGUGGUACCUAACACUUUCACUAAAAUUAAUUUGGCUCGUUUAAUUUUCAUAAAAUUUUGUCAAAGUAUUUACUUUGAGACUUUAAUAAAGAUGUAAAAAUUAAAAUUUUUUGAACCAACCGUUUUGUCAGAAAAAUUACACUGGCUAUAUAGCAAUAUGACAAACACCAAUUUUGAUCAUUGAGAAGCUUAAUAUUCCUUUUACAACACAACAUAAUUAAAACGUUUAGAUGACUUCACAGAGUUAUCUCCCUGUAAUGUUAGGUACCACCUUAAUAACUUUACAUUGAAGCAAUUUACACUUAAAUGCCGUAAACCUAGGGUAUAUAUCAAAAGUGUUUAUAAGUUCAGAAAACAAAUGGUUGUAUAUGUAUUUAAAAAAAAAAAUUAAAUAAGUUGCAAUACAAAUAUAUCUACUUGAAUAUUUAUAUAUAUAUAUAUAUAUAUAUAUGUAUAUUACAAUAGUUAUGUAUAUUUGAAAUCUACAAAUGAUGAUCAUACAAAUUGUAGCUAUCACAUGACAACAAAAAUGACACACCCAUUUUCAAUAGAUCCAAACCUUAACCAUGAGCAUGUCAAACACAAAUAUUUGACCUAGUUAUCUAGAAGGCUUCACCCAAUCAAAUAGGGUGAUAUUUGCGCCAAGAAGACAACCAAUAACAUCAACAGUUUUAAUAAUAGCAUGAUCAGAUUUUUUUAUUUUAUAGCAUUAUUAAAUUUAACCAAUUGAACCUUACUUCUCUGUUCAUUAUUUAAUUUUAUAUCAUGCAUUUAUCAAUUGCUCAGUGUAUAGCUAGCGUC